GACGAACGCUGGCGGCGUGCCUAAUACAUGCAAGUCGAACGAAGCUGUUUUAACUGGUGCUUGCACCGACUUAAACAACUGAGUGGCGAACGGGUGAGUAACACGUGGGUAACCUGCCCCAAAGCGGGGGAUAACAUUUGGAAACAGAUGCUAAUACCGCAUAACCACAGAAACCACAUGGUUUCUGUGUCAAAGAUGGUUUCGGCUAUCACUUUGGGAUGGACCCGCGGCGUAUUAGCUAGUUGGUAAGGUAAUGGCUUACCAAGGCAAUGAUACGUAGCCGAACUGAGAGGUUGAUCGGCCACAUUGGGACUGAGACACGGCCCAAACUCCUACGGGAGGCAGCAGUAGGGAAUCUUCCACAAUGGACGAAAGUCUGAUGGAGCAACGCCGCGUGAGUGAAGAAGGUUUUCGGAUCGUAAAACUCUGUUGUCAGAGAAGAACGUGUGCGAGAGUAACUGCUCGUGCAGUGACGGUAUCUGGCCAGAAAGCCACGGCUAACUACGUGCCAGCAGCCGCCGCGG
rnacentral:rRNA from 1 species